rnacentral:rRNA from 1 species
AAUGAACGUUGGCGGCGUGGAUUAGACAUGCAAGUCGAGCGAGCACACCGCAAGGGGGGUCAGCGGCGAAAGGGACAGUACUGUGUAGAUUAUCUGCCAUCAGGUCCGGGAUAGCUGCGGGAAACUGCAGGUAAUACCGGAUAACAUCUCCGGAUCUAAGGUGUGAUUCCGCCUGAGGAUGAGUCGGCAUCCUAUUAGCUAGUUGGUGGGGUAAUGGCCUACCAAGGCAUUGAUGAGUAGCAGGUGUGUGAGCACGACCUGCGUCAUUGGGACGACGACACCGCCCAGACACCUGGAGGUGGCUGUAGGCGAGAUUCUUCGGCGAGGGGCGCAAGGCUGAACCAGCGACGCGGCGUGUGUGAUGAAGGCCUUCGGGUUGUAAACCACUGUCAGAGAAGAUGAAAUGCAGGUGGAUCUUCGCAUCUGUUGGAGAUAGCCUCAGAGAAAGGACGGGCUAAGUUCGUG